UACGGAGGAGGCAAGCGUUAUCCGGAAUUAUUGGGCGUAAAGCGUCCGUAGAUGGUCGUUUCAAGUCUGCUGUCAAAGACCGGGGCUUAACCCCAGAAAGGCGGUGGAAACUGAACAGCUAGAGAGAGGUAGGGAUAGAGGGAAUUCCCAGUGUAGCGGUGAAAUGCGUAGAUAUUGGGAAGAACAUCAGUGGCGAAAGCGCUCUACUGGACCUUAUCUGACAUUGAGGGACGAAAGCUAGGGGAGCGAAUGGG
rnacentral:rRNA from 1 species